rnacentral:rRNA from 1 species
UAGAGUUUGAUCAUGGCUCAGGAUGAACGCUGGCGGCGUGCCUAAUACAUGCAAGUCGAGCGAACCACUUCGGUGGGAAGCGGCGAACGGGUGAGUAACACGUAGGUGAUCUGCCCAUCAGACGGGGACAACGAUUGGAAACGAUCGCUAAUACCGGAUAGGACGAAAGUUUAAAGAUGCUCCUGGCAUCACUGAUGGAUGAGCCUGCGGCGCAUUAGCUAGUUGGUGGGGUAAAGGCCUACCAAGGCGACGAUGCGUAGCCGACCUGAGAGGGUGAACGGCCACACUGGGACUGAGACACGGCCCAGACUCCUACGGGAGGCAGCAGUGAGGAAUAUUGGUCAAUGGGCGCGAGCCUGAACCAGCCAAGUCGCGUGAGGGAAGACGGUCCUAUGGAUUGUAAACCUCUUUUGUCGGGGAGCAAAAGACGCCACGUGUGGCGUUCCGAGAGUACCCGAAGAAAAAGCAUCGGCUAACUCCGUGCCAGCAGCCGCGGUAAUACGGAGGAUGCGAGCGUUAUCCGGAUUUAUUGGGUUUAAAGGGUGCGCAGGCGGAAGAUCAAGUCAGCGGUAAAAUUGAGAGGCUCAACCUCUUCGAGCCGUUGAAACUGGUUUUCUUGAGUGAGCGAGAAGUAUGCGGAAUGCGUGGUGUAGCGGUGAAAUGCAUAGAUAUCACGCAGAACUCCGAUUGCGAAGGCAGCAUACCGGCGCUCAACUGACGCUCAUGCACGAAAGUGUGGGUAUCGAACAGGAUUAGAUACCCUGGUAGUCCACACAGUAAACGAUGAAUACUAAUUGUUCGGGGAGAAUGAUCCCUGAGUGAUACAGCGAAAGCGUUAAGUAUUCCACCUGGGGAGUACGCCGGCAACGGUGAAACUCAAAGGAAUUGACGGGGGCCCGCACAAGCGGAGGAACAUGUGGUUUAAUUCGAUGAUACACGAGGAACCUUACCCGGGCUCAAACGACACAGGAAUACUUUUGAAAGGAGGUAGCUCUACGGAGUCUGUGUCGAGGUGCUGCAUGGUUGUCGUCAGCUCGUGCCGUGAGGUGUCGGCUUAAGUGCCAUAACGAGCGCAACCCCCAUCGCCAGUUGCUAACAGGUCAGGCUGAGGACUCUGUCGAGACUGCCGGCGCAAGCUGCGAGGAAGGCGGGGAUGACGUCAAAUCAGCACGGCCCUUACGUCCGGGGCGACACACGUGUUACAAUGGCAGGUACAGCGGGAAGCCACCUGGCGACAGGGAGCGGAACCCGAAAGCCUGUCUCAGUUCGGAUUGGAGUCUGCAACCCGACUCCAUGAAGCUGGAUUCGCUAGUAAUCGCGCAUCAGCCACGGCGCGGUGAAUACGUUCCCGGGCCUUGUACACACCGCCCGUCAAGCCAUGGAAGCCGGGGGUGCCUGAAGUGCGCUGCCGCGAGGAGCGCCCUAGGGUAAAACCGGUGACUGGGGCUAAGUCGUAACAAGGUAACCGUAA